GUCAGCCCCUGAGUGACACAGGGCCCCUCGCCUUCCCUGGCUCCCAGAAGGAAGGAGAACGAAGCAGGCAAGGAGUGGAGACUCAGAGUUCAGGAAAAGCCCUAGAGCAAACACCCCAGAUGCCAGGGCAGAGAGGAGGAGAAGGGAAGGGAGAAGAGCGGAGAAGAGGGCCCACAGCAACCUCUGGAUCUCUGGGCCUCCUGUCUUCAUGGCCACAGAGAGGCACCUCAGCAGUUACUGUGCUCCUCCUAUGUGAGAGGCCCUGGACCUGGAGCCUAGACUGGCAGGCAGCCUGCAAGUAGAUGAUGCAGCUGGCCAGCAGAGAAGGAGGCUGCCCCAGAGAAGAGGGGAGCAGGGAAUGUGGGUCAUGCAAUGGGCAAGCUCCCCAGGUGAUUCUAGGUACAGUCCAAUGGUGAUCCAGCAAGCGGCAGAGAUUGAACUUUCGAAGACUCAUCGAACCCCACCUUCUCCCCACGUCCUUGCGCCCGUCUGACCUGGUCCCACGAGGCUCGCCUGGAGAGAAUGGGUAUGAUGCAACCCUGGUGUCGUGAAAUAGCCGGGUAAGAGGAUGCGCUGCUCGUCGGCCUGAUUCACAACACCAGCUGCAGCAAGAUACCAGAACUCCGCUGGCUUCUCCUCUGGGUCGUGGCUCCUCUGGUUUUCAGACAGUGACAAACCCACACAAACAUCUUCCCCAGGGCCAGAGAGGCACCAGGGCCUGGGUCUGCAAACGUGAAAGCUGAGCCUCUGCCCACAUGGGGCUCACAGACUUGAUCACAGGGAAGAGGGAAAGAGAAAGAUGCAAAACCCUGUACAGUGCAAGAGGAUCAGAGCUGCAAUGGAGGACCAGGCCUGGGAAGAGCUGGGAAGCCAGAGGCUGGGCUGCAGCCUUUCUGGCAACCAGGACCAAGAAACUGGGAUUUCUCUUAAGCCUGCAGAGCUUGUGGUGUGUCUAUUGCAGUCCUGCUCCUUCUACCUGGACAUUGUUAAAGCAGUCCGACACUAAAGUAUUUUGAAGCUACUGGCAGCUAAAGCAAGAAGG
ensembl:lncRNA